UACAGAGGGGGCAAGCGUUGUUCGGAAUUACUGGGCGUAAAGGGCGCGUAGGCGGUCCGCUAAGUUCGGCGUGAAAUCCCCUGGCUCAACUGGGGAACUGCGCUGGAUACUGGUGGACUCGAGUACCGGAGAGGAGAGUGGAAUUCCUGGUGUAGCGGUGAAAUGCGUAGAUAUCAGGAGGAACACCGGUGGCGAAGGCGGCUCUCUGGACGGAUACUGACGCUGAGGCGCGAAAGCGUGGGGAUCAAACAGG
rnacentral:rRNA from 1 species